rnacentral:rRNA from 1 species
UGGGGAAUAUUGCACAAUGGAGGGAACUCUGAUGCAGCGACGCCGCGUGAGCGAUGAAGGCCUUCGGGUCGUAAAGCUCUGUCCUAUGGGACGAUAAUGACGGUACCAUAGGAGGAAGCCCCGGCUAACUACGUGCCAGCAGCCGCGGUAAUACGUAGGGGGCGAGCGUUGUCCGGAAUUACUGGGCGUAAAGGGUACGCAGGCGGUCAUGUAAGUCAGAUGUGAAAUCCUAAGGCUUAACCUUAGUAAGCAUUUGAAACUGCGUGGCUUGAGUUAAGGAGAGGAAAGUGGAAUUCCUGGUGUAGCGGUGAAAUGCGUAGAUAUCAGGAGGAAUACCAGUGGCGAAGGCGACUUUCUGGCCUUAAACUGACGCUGAGGUACGAAAGCGUGGGGAGCAAACAGG